rnacentral:lncRNA from 1 species
AUGAAAACCAUCAAAUACGCUUAAAGAAAAUUAUGUAGGAACUUUUCAUUUCCAAAUAGUCUAUACAACAAACUAUAUGACGCUCCAUAAUACAUUGUGUACAUGCACAUGAAAAGAAAAAAAAAUCAAAUAUUUUGCUCUCCUACUUGUUGAAGAACUUUAUCAUGCUAUCUUAAAAAUAAAUACAAAGGAUCAUAUCUUCAAACUAGUCAUCUGAGUAACUACAUUUUCUUUUUCAGUUGUUGAAGUACUUUGUCCUUGCUAUUAAGAAAAACAAAGAACACUAAUAUCAUGUGUCCAAGAAAAAGUGUUGAUCCUAAGUCAAGUACUAAAGAAAGGUCAGCUAAAACUACAAAACUGCGCCAAGUAAUUGUCAAGAAAUUGAGGGCAUAAACUGAAUUUGCACUGUAUUAGUGAAAUGAGUAAUAUUAAAUUUUGAACUCAAAACUGAUUGUGCAACCAGAGGGUCCAGAAACAUAUUCCGUUAUGUGAAUCUAAUAGAAGGAACAUUGAUCACAGUUCCCUUCUCAGUGUUAUCGUUGAUUCAACUGCCUCCCCCAACAAUUAGUAUAUCUUGCAUCAAAGUACAAAAAAAUAUUUUCUCAUUAAGGAAUUUUUAUAUUUAUCUCAUGUUGUAAACUCACACCAUGCUCUAUUGUUAGAGAUGAAACCGUUAAGUGGUGAUCAGCAACAGAGUCUCAUUAAGGGAAACAAGAUAGUUUGUUUCCCAAGGUCUGAUGGUUUCUUGCCCUUUCCUACUAACCUUCGACAAAACAGCACCCUACAGACAUACAUAGUAAUAAAUUUAUCCACGUUGAAAAAGAUCAUCAAAGAUGUUCAAAUGGAAGAUUAUCCAUAUAGAUAGAUAGGGAAGAACUUCACAGAAGCCCAUGGCAAAAUAAAAUGGUUAGUACAAUAAGAGCACAAUCAUGGAAUAAUGGUCCGUUAACUUUUCUGAAAAUUAUCUAGCAUGUAUAUUCUAUGUCCUACAAUAUAUUAAUAUUAUCUAUGAUACUAACUCUGAUUCUAUUAUAAAUAAACCACACAAUGCCCGCUCCAUCAGCUCGUUGCUACACAAUUCACAUAAACUAGUUGGAAAGUUGGAAAAUAUUGACAACUACAUAUAUAACAUAUCAUACUUAUACUAUGUCAGUAGCACCCUAUAGAUAGAUUAAUUGAUUCUUGUGAAUGUACAGAACACACCAGUUUGCAUCUCUUUCCCUGUUUAAUAUUGUGCAGAAAAGCAUAAAAUAAGGACAGCUAGUAACAAGGACACAACAAACUAAUGAGUAUAUAGACAUAGAACCGCUAGAGUAACUAAACUUUGACUGACCCACAACUACCAUCUAACAGCAACUACAUCCACCUCCAAUCAACAAAGUAAUACUAACAUAUUUAUCUUCCUCUAUCAAAUAUAUAGACCUAAACCUCAUAUUCCAUUUAUUUGCAAUACUUCCCCAUCAAACCAAGCAACAUUGAUUGGUCCUCAAUCCACAUGCUAACCUACAAUGAUAUUUGAUGGAGUGCGCUACCAAUAAUGAAACUUUCCGUUAGAAAAGAAAUCCAAAAAAAGUUCUAUUUUUCUUUUGUUUAAAAUAGUACGAAAAAACUAUAAUCAUUUACAUUUCAUAAGAUAGAGGCUAAAAGAAUACAUGGUUAUAAAGAGCAAGAUUCAACAAAUUUCUCCGACAACUAAGAACAUCAAUCCUAACAAGUAUAAAGAAGAUUAGACAGAUUAAGAAGGCAACACACAAAAAGGAAAAAAGAAGGCACAUACACUCUCAAGAACAUUCACCGAUAUGAAAAUGUAAAUUCUGGAAACAUCAAUCAGCUACAUAUGAAAAACAGAUACAGAAUAAGGUGGAAGAGGGAGGUUACUUGUCUGGAUUUUGUGUGAUUUACCCUCUGCAUAAUGAAGAUCUAAACCCUCGCCGGCAAGCCGGAUAUUAUGAAGAACAACAACCUGAAUACCAAGAUGGCUGAAGGAAUGGUAGAGAAAGGGAUUAGGGUUAUUGCCUCUUCAGAGAAGAAAGCAAAAAAAUCUACGUUGUGUGCAUUUAAUCGAUUCACUAGGGUUUGGGUAGUUGUGUAGAUUUUGGCUAGAUUUGAGGAAACAGAUGAAGGAAAAGAGACACGAAAGAGAAAAUAGAUGGGUUUGGAAGGGAGAGGUGAAAUUACCGCAUCAAACUUGCCGGAGAAGAAAUUUUGGGGAGAGGACGUCCUGGAAAAGCCCUAAUUUGGUUUUCGGGGGAAAUGAGAUCUGUAUUUUUGCAUUUCUGGAGGGAUUUCGAAAUUAUACUGAAAUCGUAAAAUCCAUCAGAUUUAGUGGCGCUUUUAAAGGUUGCCACAAUUACUCCACUUGUUAUAGCGACUAAGUCGCC